rnacentral:lncRNA from 1 species
GCAGCAGCACAAAUACAAUUAUGAGGCAUCGAACUUGCUGGCCAUUGAAAUAGAGCUAGAUUUCCACAACUAAUUUUAGCACACGUGUCUUUAGCCGUGAACGUUCCCGGACAAAAUUUAGGAUCACCUGACACAAAUGAAUGAGAAGACUACAUAUUAAUCAAUAUGAAUAUAAUUAAAAAACUCAAUGAUGAAAAUAAAUAUUUAAAAGAAAUAAUUAUUGAUAAAAUCAUAACUUGUGCAUUUAAGAAAAAAUCAUACCUAGCGAAUGGUCAAACAAAGUGAAACAUAUUGCCAUGGAGAAAAGGAAAAGCUUAAUGAAACUCUUCAUAUUUUCUUCACAACUUUUGUAUGAUUUGAUAAUAUAAAUUGUUGACACCAUUUAGGACUCCUAUAUAGGGACUAGAGGAAAAUCUGAAGUUAUGCUAUUUGUUCAUAUAAGGCUACCAAAUCUAUAAUUUUUAAAUUACUUGCCAAAAAAUACAAAUGUAUUUAUAGUAAUAGCUCAAAUAAGGCGAGUAAAUCAGUAGUUUUUAAAUUACUUGUUUUAAUAUACAAAUGAGUUUAUGGUAUGUGUUGAAAUAACGCUAGUAAUUUGUAAUUAAGGUUUUUUCUACUUUGUUGAUCAAAUUAUUAGCAAAAAAAUAAAAGACAUAAAGUAACUAUUUGACCCCACUAAGUACCACCAAGAUAUAAAUAGUGAUCACUAGUUUGUGUGGAUUUGAUAUCGAUAGUCCUACUCCGAUGGCAAGAAUAGGAAGGCUCUCCCCAAAGUGGGUUGUACGUUGGACUCCAUGUAGCUCACAUGGUUUAUGUCGGUUAUAGGAUCUCCUAGUGUGUGUGUGUUUCCUUGUGUCUAUGGUGAAUGGUGAAGUGAUUUGAAAGUGCAAUUGUGAAAGUUAUUCUUUCAAAAGAUUUAAAUGAUAUUUACAUUAUGAGAAUUGAUAUUCUUGAUGAACUGAAAGUGAUUGACAAAUUAUAUGGUGACUCACAUGUGUUAUUGUACUUAUUUCAUCCUCUCAUGAUUAUAAUAAUUUUCUUCGGGCUAUGUGAGUCUUUCAUAUAUCCUGCAUAUUUCUUAUAAAUAUUUAUGAUGAUGAUGUUUAUACAACUUCAUACACCCNNNNNNNNNNNNNNNNNNNNNNNNNNNNNNNNNNNNNNNNNNNNNNNNNNNNNNNNNNNNNNNNNNNNNNNNNNNNNNNNNNNNNNNNNNNNNNNNNNNNNNNNNNNNNNNNNNNNNNNNNNNNNNNNNNNNNNNNNNNNNNNNNNNNNNNNNNNNNNNNNNNNNNNNNNNNNNNNNNNNNNNNNNNNNNNNNNNNNNNNNNNNAGGCUUGUCAGACUAGUAUAGAUGUUGGGAGUUGACUAAUAAGUCGUAUUUUGUUAUCUUUCUGAAAUUCUUUUAUUCUUCGGCGAUGAUUACUCUGUUGAUAGUUGAGGGUUAUUUAUGGAAACCCCGUUUAUUUGUGUUGAAAUGAAUGAAAAUGGCUCAAAGGGUUAGCUUGGGUCUACUCAUAGCCUCAAGCACCGUGUGACGCUCCGAGACCCAUUUUCUGGGGAGUUACACCAACCCAUAGCAGUACCACAAAGCCUCUAACCAAAAGAGUAAUAAAAUACGGUUGGGAUAUGCCCCCAACCAUACCAAAACUAGAAUCCCUAAGUAAUCUAAAUUAUCAAAUAACAUUCAUGAAAUGGAGCCUUCCGGAAAGAUUAAAGCUCACCACUUCAAUUCAACGGCUGACCUGAGUAUUCGAAUGCUAAACAGGGGGAGUUGAAUGGCCAUUUCCUACAUAGCUUGGGUAUAUAGCCGACUGAAGACGGGUUAGGAAGUGAACGCUAGCAUGCACUCGGGAUAAGGAUAAAAUAAUUUUAUUUAUAAAACCAUGUAAAAUCAUUCAUAAUGCAUACAUACAUACAUAUAUACAUAUAUAUAUAUAUAUAUAUAUAUAUACAUAACCAAGAUGGUAAAGAGGACCAUAUUUAGCAUGCAUUUAAAGCCUUUACCUAGGUUGUGUAGCUUUGCCGUCCUAAAACAAUCCAUGGGCUAUAUGGGUUCAGCUCUCCUUGCUGAAAAGGCCCCAGUGCAUAAAGCUGCACGACCAAGGAAGAAAAUCUGGGAUGACUAGUACUUCCCCCAACAUAAAGUGUGACAUCAUGCACACGGUCAUUAAGACCAAACCUCACAUCGGCAAAUUUGAGUUUCCAGUUUUGGUCUCUCUGGUACCUCUACCUUCCUCGACUUUGCUACACCUCCCCCGUUAAGCCCAAUUAAAAUCAUUUCCAAACCAUCAAACCAUUAUCCAUUUAUUAACCAGGACCAUUAGUAGUAGUAUCCUCAUACCGACUAAUACUUCCAAGUAUUGUCCUUAGCCAAACCUUUUAGUGAUCAAGGGAUUUCUAUGUACCCAUAGAUCAUAUCAUUCGAUUUACUUGGGGGAUUCCCAUGUACCCCAUAAGUAGGUUUAUUAAGCCAAACCAUUCCUUCAAAACCAUAUAAGCCAGUUAGGUUCCAUUACCAAGUUUAAACUAUGCAUAAGUUUCAUUGAAAAUCUAAUUAUAUAGUGAAAACAUUGUUAUAGGCAUUUUAUCAAACACAUUAGGGGCAUAAUAUUACCAAAACCAAUUUCAAUUACCAAUAACCACUUCCAUGCAAUCCAAUUAUCCAAAACCACCAUUAAAGCAUAUAAAAGCAUAAUUAAAGCAUAGGGAAACCAUAACCAAGCCUUUAUAAAUUAAACCCCCAAAUCAUAUUUGAAAACUCAAACCAUAUAACAUUCAAACCAUGAAAACAUUGUAUAAAACUAUGCCUUUAGUUAGAACUAACAAUGAGGGAAGAGAACAUGCCUUAAUUGAGAAGUUAAUGGAGAGAAACCACCAACAUAAGGCAUAGAUUAAGCCUUAAGAUAAAACCUUAGCCUUAUUUGCCCAAGAACUUUAAAAAGGAUUUAAGAGUGUUUUCUAAGUGUUAAUGGAUAGAAUAAUAGGAAAAAUAACCUAUUAAGUGAGCUAAAAGCCGUGAGGCUUUAUUAGGAUAAGUGGGGAAAUAUUUAGAUUGCCCUCACUUAAAACUCCCAGAAAUCCUGUCAGGUGGGUAUGACCAUCCAUACCAGUCGUACCUUCCAAUAUGAGUGGUACCCACCACUCAUACCCAAAGACACUUCUCUUGGACCCAACACUAUCCAAGGUACGACUACCCCAAACCAUGUUGUAUCCAAAUGUAUGACUAGUACCCAUGAUCCGUACCCCUGGCAGAAUAGAAUCUCAAGAGGAUUGAACAUUGCCCACCAUAUGAGUCCAUGGCACGACUCAUACCCUAGCUUAUGGCUCAAGGCAAUCCACUCGUACUCAUAUCCAAGUCAAGUCACCAAGUUUAAGAUUUAGUGAAGGAACCUAACGAUCUGUAUCCACAGAUAUGAAUCGUAACACCCAAGUCGUAUCCAUUCCAAAAACCAAAUCCACCCUACCAACUGUCACGGCCCUAACCAGGGCCUAGACAUAAUGGAUAUACCAAGUUCAAUCAGGACCGGGGACCACCCCCUAUCCCCCAACCCAACCACCGUAUACAUAUCUUAAGCCGGCUGAAUUCCAAAAAUAUAACAAGAUAACAUAUCUAUCCAUAUGCUGACUUUGGGAUAAGUCUAUAACCGAGACCAACCCAACUAAGUCUAUCCACUUAGUAACCAACCAAGCUAAUGCAAAAACCAUAAACCAAAACCAAGUAUAAUAAUAAUCCAACGUAUGUAUGUAUAUAUAUAAAUAUAUAUGAGAUAACCAAUCUAUACUGUACCAAAGUCCACAGUUGUCCGUACAAAGCCUCUAGACCAACCAAAGAGUACCUAGUCGGGACAUGCCCCCGAUAUAGCCAUAAACCAAUUCUACCAAAGACAAUAUACAUAAAGUAAUCCAUAACAUAAAAUAGAUGCCUUUUGAACUAUGAAAUCUCACCAUUUCAAUCCAACAUCAAUUGUACCCGAGUUCGAUCACUAAGCAAGAGGAGUAAAUAAUCGGUUCCUACGUAGAGUGGAUAUACAAUUGCUAGUAGACGGGUUAGCAAGUAAAUGCUAGGAUGUACUUAGGAUAAGGAUAAAAUAAUACAAAUUAUAAAACCAAGUAAAACCAUCCAUAAUGAAUACAACCAUACAUAUAUAUUAGUGUCGGGAAAGGGAACCAGGUUUAGCAUGCAUAAAAACCUUUACAUGGGUUGUGUAUCUUUGUCGUCCUAAAUCACCCACGGGAAAUAUGGGUUCAGCUCCUUCUGCUGAAAGGGCCCCAAUGCGUGUAGCCGCACGACCAAGAAAGAUAAUCCUGGGAUGACUAGUACAUCCCUAAAUAUAAGGUGUGACAUCAUACGCAUGAUCACUAAGAACAAACCUCACAUUAGUAAAUAUGAGUUUCAAUUUUUGGGCCCCCCAAGACCUCCACCUUUCUCGGCUUAGCUACACCUCUCUUUUAAUGCCCAAUUAAAACCAUUUUCAAAUAACCAACCAAUCCAUUUGCCAUUUAUUAACCAAGGCCAUUUAGUAGUGGUAUCGUCACACCGACCAUACUUACAAGUACUAUCCAUAACCAACCAUAUGUUAGUUUAAGGAGACUUUCAUGUGCCCUUCCAUUUACCAUGAUAAACCACUUGGAGGACUUCCAUGUUCCCCACAAGCAUAUCUAUUUAGCCAUUUACCUUUCCAAACCAUUUAAACCAAUUCCAUUAAUGCAUUAACUUGAGGGAUUUCCAUGCAUCCCAUAAGGUUUUCAAAAUAUACCAAUCAUGACCACCAAAUCCUUUACCUCUUAAACCAUUCCAAACCAUUUUAGACCAUGACAUACAUUCAAAGAAUUUAUAUCAUUUAAACCAUGCAAAAUCAUUCAAAAACGUUAUAGUUCCAUUACUAAACCAAAUCAUGCAAGAGUUUUAGUAAAAGUUUAACAAUAAAGUAAAAACAUUCUUUGAAGCAUUUUAUCAAACAUGUUGAGGUCAUACAUUUACCAAGACCAAAAUCAAUGCAUAAACCACCUUAAUUGGGGUUACUCAAGACCCAUUAGUUAAACCAUAACCAACAACCAACCACAUGAGCAAACCAUUACCGAAAACAUGUCAAAACAUGAUUUAAGCCAAUACCAAACCAUAUGCACCAAAACCCUCAACAAUAUUUUGAAAUCCACCUUUCAUGAUUUAUAAAUCAAUGUUUAAAACACAAUACAUAUGCCUUUAGUUUGAAAUAAUAAUUAGGGAAGGAAUACAUGCCUUAUACAUGAAGGUUCACGAUAGAAAUCUUGACCUUUGAGCCCUUUGAAGGACACUUGAGAAACCCUGGCCUCCAAUCUUAAAGAGUGAGUUUGAGAAAGUAUUUGAAGUAUUUUAAUCUUUUACAAGUGUUAUGGAAGGCUACCAAGGAUUAUAUAACGUGACGGCAUAAGGUUCUUGAAGUAGGAAAUAUCCAAACUACCCUUGACUUAAAAUUAAAAUAAACCACAUCCAGGGGUACGACUCACCCUUACCAUUCGUAUCCUAGUGUACUAGUGGUACCCUAAUUCGUACCUAACCUAUUCAUCACCUUACAUACUAAUUUCUAUACGACUUACACCUCCCCAACUUGUACCUAAGGGUUUGAGUGAAACCCUCAAUCAUACCCACCAACCAUACUUUGAACAAAUUACACAAGAUCACACCUAUGAGCAACAUACGAAUUGCCAAUGUGCCAUUCGUAUCUUCCUAUACGAUUCGUACCAAGAGGAAUCGUAUCUUGGGUAGUAUCUACACCAAACAUACUGUUUGUUUUAUUCCUUUUUGGAUUUUAUUUUUAAGAAACGGUUUUGACCUUUUCAAACUAUUUCAAAAUUUAGAAGUAAUUUGAAAAAAAAAUUACAGAGUCGCCACUUGAUUUUUAUCGAAAACAUCAAGAAACACAUAACGAGAUUUCAAAAUAGAAAUAAAUCUUCCAAAUUAGAGUAACUGGUUAAGGGUUCAGUUAACACCCUAAGAAGAUUUUUACGGGACUUAGGAGCGUCUGUUUUAAAACGGUUCACCAAAGGACUUUUUUUGACUAACUAAAAGGGUGACUAACUUUAUGAAAGGGUUAUAAAAAUAUUUAAAAUUAUUUAUUCACUUAAAAUUGGCAUUUGUUUAUUCGAACAAGUAAUAGUCUACUUGAAUUUAGUGAGAAAGUUACAACAUAUUUUAUUUAAUCUAAUAUUAAUUUUGAGGAAAAAAUUACGAAACAUCUUUAAAAUAUCUUACUUGAUAAAAUAUUUUACUUAAUUUAGAAUUAAUCUCGAAAAGUUGGAAUUUGAGAAAAAGAUCAGGAAUAUUCUAAUUAAGAAAAUUCUACUUAUUUCAUAAUUAAUUCCAAGGAAAAAAUUGUGAAAUAUUAUUUCUACUUGAAUUAAUAAAAAGCCUAUUUAAAAUAGGUGGAACACCUGGAUUUAAGAAGGAAAUAAGUUUGUGUUUUUUAUGAAAGAGGAAUUACGGAAUUAUUCUUACUAUUAUCAUUGCUAUUAUUUAAACUAUGUAUACAUAAGAAGGAUCCAUUUUUUCAUAAAUAACACCUUUGCAAAAUGUUAGGAGAAUGUCAUGUUAAAAAUGUUUUAUCAAUAAUGAAAAAAUUAAAAUUUACGAGAAAAAUUAGCUUCUAGAAUUUGAGAAAAAAUAUUUUGACCCAAAUAGGUAAUUAGUCGUAUGAAUAAAACAAAUGCCAUCUUGAAAUAAUUAAUUUAAUAAAAUACUAAUUUUAGGAAGAAAAAUUGAACCAACCAAUUUAAUCCAUUUAGACAAGAUAAAUUAGGUGAGAAAAUGGUGAGUCAAAAUAUGAAAAUCAAGAUAAACUAGAAUGGCCACAUCUUAGGGGAUCUCUAAAUUAAUUAAUUAAAGUUGAGGUUAAUAUAACUACACAAGAAUAAAUUACAAAUGAUAAGGGAAUAAAAGAUGUAUAAAUAACAUAAAUAUCAAUCCUUUUGGAAGAAAUUACAUUCUCUCCCACUUUUUUAAUUACUUUACUCUCCCUCCCUAUUAUUAAUAUACAUAACAUAGCCGACAUAUACAUAGCAUUCUGUGUAUAGGUUGAGAUUUUUAUAAUAUGUUUAGGGAGUUGAGAUUUUUUGUAAUAUUACAAACAUAAGUUAUGUAUUUGUGUAGUUUUGAGAUAAAAGAUAAAGAAUUAGAGUUGGGCCCUUUUUGGCCCAUCCACGUUCUAUGCAGCUUUUGGGCUUUUAAUCUAUGGACUUUAAGUCCAUUUUCCUGCAUUGUAUACCACAGGUAUAUCAGCUCCUCUUUUCCAGCAUUUUUGGGUAUACCAUCGUGUAUAUAUUGCGUAUUAGCGUAGAAAAAUCAGCAUGUUUGCUUCCACAUUUAAUAUGAACCAACAUCAGCUGCCUUCCAGUGUAUAUAAGCUGUAUACAGUCGUAUAUCAUCUGUAUACAGGUGUAUACUAGCCUGUAUCAGUUGCUUUAGCGUGGAGCGGAUAUGCAAGAGGGGAGUCCGAUGGACUCCACGAAGGAUUUCAUGCAUAAAAAAAUAAGAAUUACUAAAUGCAUUAGAGGAAAUUCCGCGCGUGUCAUGGUAACAAAAUAGAGACAUACUUCAUGAGCACAAUGUUCUCAAAACAAUAGAUUCAAAAUGGAAUUAAGAAUUAGUAUAUAUUAUACCACUGGUAGCGACACAGAAUAAGGAAUAUCCAAAUUCACAAGUCAAAAUAAUAUUUCAGGCCAUUACAAGGUAAACUUUGCCAACAGCAAACAUCCAAAGUAGGAGCAUUAACAAGUAUAACUUGGUUUUUCAUGGUGAAGUUUUACUUAAAAAAACAUGCUUUGUUAUUUCAUCAAAAGGAAAAUUAACUUAGAUCCUUGGAGUAAAAUUAGGUUGUUUCACUUUAAGCAGGAAAAUACACAUUCAUUUUUGAACUCUUAAGAACUUCAUACACAAACUCUAAACUCUAAUACAUUUUCUAGCAAUCCAAAGAAGAGAAAGCAAACGGGGCAAAACUAGAAAAAAAGGCAAUCUUAAUUGAUGAUUUAAAAAAAAAGAUUUCGUUGUUUAAGCCUCUUGGAACGAAAAAAAAAACUAUUAUGCAUUCAUGACAACAAGCAGAUGCAGGAAUUUAAAGCUUGGAGAUUUUUUCUCCAAUAAACAAUGUAUAACAAAAAAACUUUCCAAUCAAAACACAAACAAAAACCUAAAUCCACUCUCGAUAUCAUUGCGAGAUACAUACUGCAACAUUAAACAUAAAAGGAACUUAAAAAGAGAAAAGAUGGGUUAUUUACCUAUCUUGGUGCAGCGACUGGAACUACAAACUCUUGUCGGAACAACUUCCACCACAAUUUUGAUUUGCUAUCGAAAUUUCAAUGAUUUGGAUGAAUUUUGAAAACACUGUGAAGAUUUCUUGGUUACAUAGGGUUAGAGGUGCGCACCUCCAGAACCCUCAAGUUUUUCCCCAAUUAAUCCUCUCAGAAUCCCCUUAGCCCCCACUAUCUAUUUAUAGGGAAAAUUGGGGGAAAAUAUUAUGAUUUUUCCAGAUUACAAUUUCAAAUUUUGGAUUCAAUUUCUUGAGAGGCUUUGAGUUCUGUUGUAGAACAAAAUUAAUUAUUAAUGGCCAUCAGAGGAUAUUGGAGAAAAGAGUCGUUUGACUUUGUUGGUCAAAGGAAUAAAUUAAUUCUUGCCCAAAUUAGUGAAUCAUGCAAUGAAUAUGUCAAAAACAUCUGCUUUUGAGCCAUAAAUGGCUAUACUGAAGGGGUAAGAUGGUAAAUUUAGAGGGCCGUCUAGGGUUUAGGGUGGUCGUUUUUGGUUACGUUGAAGUUAUGGGUGGUCGGGUCUUUACCGGGUCGGGUCUUUUCCGAGUCGGUUGGUCGUGGUUUGUUUGUUGUUGUCGAAUGUUGUUGAUGAUAACGCUAUUUUGCUAUUGCUGUUAAACACUAUUUGUUGUUGCUG